rnacentral:lncRNA from 1 species
UUAUGCCUCAGUCUUCAUCUGUAUUUGUAAGACGACUGUGUAUCUGUUCUGGGUUAUGCUAAUUAAAUCUAUAACACAAGGCCCGCACGUUACUUGUCUGACUCCUGAGUUCCAGUCGUUUCUACUCCUGUGACACACAGGCUCGGUUCAUACUCCUGAGAAGAGUUUACUGCAGCACUUCAGGAUUUGAGGUUUCUCUGUUGCACUGGAUCCUCAUCCCUAAUGCAGCUAAUACGUGGAAGAAGAACAAGCUUUCCUAUUCCUUGCCUUAAUCCCCUGCGUGGUUGCUUAGGGUGAAUCAUUAACCAAGCACCUAAGUAUGGUGAAGCAAAAAUGUUUGUUGAGUGUCUUUGCAGACAGCAUGGAGUGGAGGCCUUCUGCAGGAGGAAUGGCUCUGCUCUCAUGCAGGAGCUGCAGCACUGCCAUCUGCUCGCUCAACCGCUUCCUCCAGCUCUACACCUCUGCUUAUGCACUGAUGGGCUGAAGCUGCUCCUGCUUUUGGGAUGAGAAAAGGGAACGGUAGAUGUAUCCUGGAGAAAGGAUUUAAGAGAUCUUUCUGUUUGCCUUGGGCUGUGAUUUCCUGUGGGCAAUGAUGGAGGAACAGCACGGUCUAGAUAAACUCUACUUAACUUGCUUAUUGGGAUGGAGGUGGAUUGGCAUUGUCCUUUUUCCAGGAGUCAAGACUGAAGAAUUACAGAAAUACUGCAGUGUUAUCAAGUGGCCUCCAGGAAUCCCAGGCCACUGAGAAGAGAUGAAAAAACUAGAUGAAAGAAGAUUGGAUGGUGGCAGAAAAGAGCCAAGCUGGGGAGCACUUAUAUUGGAUAUAUGUACAUCUGGGGGUCCUGAUGGGUUGCACUCAGGAAUGCUGACGGUACUAAAUGAUGUCACUGUGAUCUUUGAAUGGUCAUGAUAACUGGCAGAGAUUCCUGAUGAAUGGAGCAGAGAAAAUAUAUUCAAGAAGGUCAGGAAGGAAAAUCUGAGGGACUGUCAGACAGUCAGCCUCACCUCAGUGCCUGGGAAGGUGAUGGAAAACAUUGUCCUGAGAAUUUGGCUAUUUCCAAAUACAUGAAGGACAAGAAUGUGAUCAGGAGCAUUCAGCACGGAUUUAUGAAGGGACAGUAAUGCUUUACCGACCUGAUAGCCAUCUACAGUAAGAUGAAGAGGUCUGCACCACCUGAUCUCUCUUUCAACCUCAAAAACUCUGCUGCUCUGUGAUUUGCUAGUCUCCUGCUUAUAUAAUCAUCAGAUACCACACAACAGAUCAUUUAAGCAAAUAUGGUAGGAAGGAAAGUAUCAAGGUUACCGACUGGAUUCCUGGAGCAGAUGAGUAGACCUUCAUGGCCAGACAACAGAGCAAGCUGACGAAGUCCAUGUAGCCAACUCUGCAGUCAAAACCAAAGUGCUGGGACUCAGAAGGUCUCGCUUGUUAAUUUGACUGUGUGUAAACAAAGAAAUGCUGUUGGCCCUAUUAAUCUCAGCGCAGGCCUGAGGGAUAAUGGCAGAUGACUCAUGGACCAGACACCAGUGACAACGCAUUACUCCGUGUCUGUUGGCCAAGUGCUACUGACUGAAAUCACUGGCUCUACCUCAAUUCACUGCAGCAAAGUGUCUGGUCUUGCUUGGAUUUGCUUGAGAAAUGACCUUUAUUUUUCUUAUCCACAUUCUCACCUUAUGCAGUCUCCAUGUGUGUGCCAAAGUCACCUCCCCUGCAAGGGUGGACAGAUUUAGAGAUGCUCAAAAUGGCACAGGUUCACAGACAUCUCUUAUCUCCAUAAAACUCCUAGAGAGCAUCCAGAGGAGGGCUAAGAAGAUGGUGAAGGUUCUGGAGGAUUCUUUCCAACUCAAGGUAUUCUGUGAUCCUAAAAGAGGGGCAGCAGCCAGCAAGGAUGGAAUCAUCACAAAGGGGAGAAAUUGCACUUAAUGGGAGGCAGCCAGGGUGCUUGGUGCACUU